CCGAGCUGAUCAGUACAAUGAUUCUGCAAAGGUGUUUCUUUUCGAUUUCCAAUGGAAAGGAAGAACAUGGUGCAUUGAUGCAUCUGAAGAAGACUCCUCCCUUGGGAGACUCGUUAAUGAUGAUCACUAAAGACUCAAUCUCAAAAUGAAGGCCAUACAAGCAAACGAUGAGCCACACUUGUGCCUCUUCGCGACUCGAGAUAUUGCAGCUGGCGAAGAGUUGACUUAUAGUUACGGUGAUUCAGACUGGCCAUGGAGAACACAGGUCAUCAAAACUGAAUUGUCGUCCAGCCCAAAACCUAUGGUAAGAACUUUACUAAAGUCAUAGAUCAAUAUGAGUUUAUUUUUUUCUAUUAUCACAUUUACUAUUUCACUUUCACAAAUACACAUUUAUAGUCUAACAUC